AUUGAAAGCUGGCGGCAGGCUUAACACAUGCAAGUCGAGCGGGGUGAUGGUGCUUGCACUAUCACUUAGCGGCGGACGGGUGAGUAAUGCUUAGGGAUCUGCCUAUUAGUGGGGGACAACAUCUCGAAAGGGAUGCUAAUACCGCAUACGUCCUACGGGAGAAAGCAGGGGAUCACUUGUGACCUUGUGCUAAUAGAUGAGCCUAAGUCGGAUUAGCUAGUUGGUGUGGUAAAGGCCUACCAAGGCGACGAUCUGGAGCGGGUCUGAGAGGAUGAUCCGCCACACUGGGACUGAGGACCGGCCCAGACUCCUACGGGAGGCAGCACUGGGGAAUAUUGGACAAUGGGGGGAACCCGGAUCCAGCCAUGCCGCGUGUGUGAAGAAGGCCUUAUGGUUGUAAAGCACUUUAAGCGAGGAGGAGGCUCUUUUGGUUAAUACCCAAGAUGAGUGGACGUUACUCGCAGAAUAAGAACCGGCUAACUCUGUGCCAGCAGCCGCCGUAA
rnacentral:rRNA from 1 species